rnacentral:rRNA from 1 species
UACGUAGGGUCCGAGCGUUAAUCGGAAUUACUGGGCGUAAAGCGUGCGCAGGCGGUUUUGUAAGCCAGAUGUGAAAGCCCCGGGCUCAACCUGGGAACUGCAUUUGGGACUGCAAGGCUGGAGUACGGCAGAGGGAGGUGGAAUUCCACGUGUAGCAGUGAAAUGCGUAGAUAUUGGGAGGAACACCGGUGGCGAAGGCGGCCCUCUGGACCGGUACUGACGCUGAUGCGCGAAAGCGUGGGGAGCAAACGGG